rnacentral:rRNA from 1 species
UACGGGGGGAGCAAGCGUUGUUCGGAUUUACUGGGCGUAAAGGGCGCGUAGGCGGCCUCCGCAAGUCAGUUGUGAAAUCUCCGAGCUUAACUCGGAAAGGUCAACUGAUACUGCGGGGCUAGAGUGCGGAAGGGGCAACUGGAAUUCUUGGUGUAGCGGUGAAAUGCGUAGAUAUCAAGAGGAACACCUGCGGCGAAGGCGGGUUGCUGGGCCGACACUGACGCUGAGGAGCGAAAGCAUGGGGAGCGAACAGG